GCAGAGCAGUGCCCGCUUCCUCCUCGCGGGCUGCACUACGGCUCCUCCGCGCGGGGUCGGAUCACAGCCUCCCCGGUGGAAACGACAGGAAUGGUGCAGUCCAACGUUCAGCGUGCCGGGGACCGGGGACAUACGCGCGCAGACGGCGGCGGCGACACGGGGACCGGGUACCAGUGCUCCAUCAGACAUUCGCUCCCUUUCCUGCGGUGUUUGACCAGCAGAGGACGUAUAAAAGUACAGAUUACAUCCCGGUGCAGAAGACGGGUCGUCUCAUUUGCCUCUGCCCAAAAUAUCAGACAGCAUCCAUAUCAAGGUUCCAGCACACUGACUCAACACAAAGUGUGCGAGCCUGCGGAUGAGCGUCCACGGACGUGUUGACAUACAGGAGGAGGCCUCUCCUGUUGCAGCCAACAUGUCCUCUAUUGAACAGAGGACAUGUUGGCUACUUUUCCAGAUAGGUUAAUUUGUUGAUCAUUUCUUUAACAAGUGAUUUUUUUUAAAUAUUCAACAGAUUAAACAAUUAUUAACACGUUAAUGUUUUUACUCUUCACUAUCCAACAGUAGUUUAACAGCAAGUAGAUACUCACAUUUUCCAAGCAAGUAUAAAUAUUCUUUGAUCGGACAUAUGGGUUAAGAUAUUUACUGAUUAUUAGAUGACGAUUAGUGGAUCAAACAAUGGACAUAGAAUUGAUGUGCACCAAUUAAUUAAUGAAUUGUAGAAAUGCUCACUAGCAAGGGCUGUUAUGGCAACUUGGUCCAUGAAAAGUUAAAACCGGGCUUUUCUUUGACCUCAUAGACAAAAUCAUUAAUGUAUUAAAGAGUAAAAUAUUGAACGGAUUAAAAGAUAAAAUAAAACCUAUUUGCUUGUA